rnacentral:rRNA from 1 species
GAUGAACGCUGGCGGCGUGCCUAAUACAUGCAAGUCGAGCGAACAGACGAGGAGCUUGCUCCUCUGACGUUAGCGGCGGACGGGUGAGUAACACGUGGAUAACCUACCUAUAAGACUGGGAUAACUUCGGUAAACCGGAGCUAAUACCGGAUAAUAUAUUGAACCGCAUGGUUCAAUAGUGAAAGACGGUUUUGCUGUCACUUAUAGAUGGAUCCGCGCCGCAUUAGCUAGUUGGUAAGGUAACGGCUUACCAAGGCAACGAUGCGUAGCCGACCUGAGAGGGUGAUCGGCCACACUGGAACUGAGACACGGUCCAGACUCCUACGGGAGGCAGCAGUAGGGAAGCUUCCGCAAUGGGCGAAAGCCUGACGGAGCAACGCCGCGUGAGUGAUGAAGGUCUUCGGAUCGUAAAACUCUGUUAUUAGGGAAGAACAAAUGUGUAAGUAACUAUGCACGUCUUGACGGUACCUAAUCAGAAAGCCACGGCUAACUACGUG